rnacentral:lncRNA from 1 species
UUCCAUAAGUAAACGCAAUUGAAUAUUCCAGCAAGUUUGUAUAUAAAAUGGUUUUAGUAACAGCAUAUUAGAGCUAUAGCAAGCCUUGUGUUAGGAGCAUAUAUCUUAGGAAAUUAAGAUGGCGAGAGAGUUCAUAGUUCAUGAUGGUAGUGUCCAUUCAGAAACAGGCUUCCUGCUUGAUUCCUCUGAGGCUUUUCUGUUGUUAUGCAUGAUUGUUGUUUCCUUGUCAAUUAUUUCCAUGGUCAUAUUCGCAUGUGGUGAUAGUGGUUCAGGCAGAGGUGGAGGCCGCCGCAGAAAAUCUGGAGGAGGUGGACGUGGUGGACGUGGUGGAGGUGAUGGAGGAGGUGGAGGUGGUGGAGGUGGUGGAGGUGAUGAAGGUGAUGGAGGAGGUGGUUGUGAAGCCAUUUUACACAUACAUCGAGCUUAAAUAGCUUUUAUAAAUCACUUUAAAGAAGCAUUUUGUGCAUUCAAGGUAUGCUAUAGUAUAAAUCUAUGAAGUUAACGAAUAAAACAUAUCUUUUUAACAAACCAAUAGUUAAGAUUAAUAAUCAUAUUAUUUAAAUCAUAUCGUUUACAUUUUAGUUUUACUUAUUGACUAGAAUUCCUUGUAUCCUAUUAUAGCUUGGUUUAAUUCUUAACAUUAACAAAACCUUAUCAGCCUUGGAAAAAUACCGUAAAUAUGUAUCCAUUCACAUUAUUUAUUGAAAUAGCACAUUAAUGUUUUUGCCCUUCGAACAAAAAAUAUUAAAUUGACUAUUGGGGCAGUGAUUUCUUUCUAGAAGACGUACUAAUCAUUACCUAAAUUAAUUAAGAAUAAAUAAAUUUUUAUCCAUUUUAAAAGCACAAUAAAACAAAAAAAAUGAUCCUAAAAGCAAAAAAAUAAAAAUAAAAUUGAUGUUCAAGGGUUUUUU